rnacentral:lncRNA from 1 species
GCUGGCUUCAGUUACCCAUAACUGGGGGUCAUGCUUUGCUGCCAAGUCACUGAACAACUUCCUCUGUUUAAACAGACUAUGUAAGCCCUACUUUUUCCCAGAGUUCACGACUCUUUCGGAAAGUGUUUUAUGAUACAGUUGUUAUAAAAUCCACCAUCACAGUAACAGCCACAGACAAGGCUUCACUGUGGGCCUGGCUUCAAGCCCAUUUAAUUGAAUGAAAGUUUUUCCUUUGCUAUCAGUGAACACAUACAUCAAGCUGCACCAUACAUCCCACUGUAAUAACAGUGCCACAGUGUUUUGCGGGCUGUGUCUAGUCACUGUUUUUCUUCAGAAAAGUCAGAGAUCAUGAAGCUAACAUCAUGCAGAGGAUCCAAAAAGGUUUUGCACACCUUUGAGACCCUAAAAAUACAUUUUGAGUGCUAUUUCAGAGAGUCUUUGCACUGGUAUUUGGCAUAAGAGCCAUGUUUAGUCCUUGCGCAUGAACUCACAAAAGGCUCAAGCUGCUUUUCUUUCCCUUCUAUCCAUCACUUACAGAGACUCUGUUCAUGGGAGAUGUAAUACUGACUGUUGGGAGUUACAAGGGGGAGCAGGUUCAUGUUCAUCAUUUAUAGCCUGACUGCAAGAGGUGACCCCUGCCAGAUGCUGCACAACAAGGACAGGACAAUUUAGAACAUCCUGGACAAGAAGAAAGAUUUCUCCCAGUAUUAGUGACACUUUAAAAACUUCGGUCCACAUCUCUUCUGUCUACAAUUUGAAGCCUUCAAUAAAUAGCCAACAGGAUGAGGACAAGAAAUCCAUUCUUCACUUGGCAACUUUAAGAGGUUUACAUCCUACAAAGUCACAUGUGUUUUGGAUACAGAGUUAUAGUAAAAUAAUGCAAAAACAGCAAUAAAACUUACAGACAGUAUUUUACUUCUGUGUUUGUAUUUUCAGUGUUUCUGUACCUAUACAGGUCUCAGUUCUGAAACUCUCACAUGUGAGAAUAACCUGAAGAUAUUUGAAAGUCAC